AACGUGGGUUCCGAGCGUUAUCCGGAUUUACUGGGCGUAAAGCGCGUUCAGGCGGUUUGGCAAGUCGGGCAUGAAAUCUCUCGGCUCAACCGGGAGAGGUUGUCCGAUACUUCCAGACUUGAGGGCAGUAGAGGGUGGUGGAAGUUCCGGGUGUAGUGGUGAAUGACGUAGAUAUCCGGAGGAACACCGGUGGCGAAGGCGGUUCUCUGGGCAUUACCUGACGCUGAGGAGCGAAAGUGUGGGGAGCGAACAGG
rnacentral:rRNA from 1 species